rnacentral:tRNA from 1 species
AGAAAUUUAGUUAAAUUUAUAAUAUAAAUUUGUCAAAUUUAAGUUACUAAUAUGUUAAUUUCUU